AUGACUCGGGGCACGGCAGGGCUGCCCCUGCUGCUGCUGAGCCUCGCUAUGCUGGAUCUCUCACUGGAGACCACGGCACCACUGGCCAACACCAGCUCAAGCACUGCAGCCACCUUCCCUUCCUCUCGUCCUGCAACCUCCACCCCAGAGAUGCCAAUGGAUGCCUUCACACCCAGUGCUUCUACAGCUCAGCAGAGCAGCCUGGCAGCCUCCAACAUCACCACACCACAGGCAAGGGGCAGCAGAGCUGACAGCGCUCCUGGGUCACCUGGGCUGGCACCCAGCACCAGCAAUACCCCAGCAGGGCUGGAAACCACCACCAGCAGUACCCCAGCAGGGCUGGAAACCACCGCCAGCAGUACCCCAGCAGAGCUGGGGCUCACGACCACCAGCACCACCCCAGCAGGGCUGGAAACCACCAUCACCACCACCCCAGCAGGGCUGGGGCUCAGCACCACCAGCACGCCACCUCCAACCUCCACGGCCAUGACACCCAGCUAUGACAAGAGUACCACUGUCAUGUCUGUGGGGACCAGGACAGCCCUGGCUGCCAGCUCAUUUGGACUUGAAACGAGCAUGCUGCCUCCCUCCACCUCUGCUCUUCUCUCCUCCACUGGGCUGGGCACCACGCUUGGCACCAGCCCCCACCAAGAGCCAGCCAUGACCACACUGCUUGGCAGCACAUCCCCAGGGACCAGCACCACCUCUUCCUCCACCACGCCAGAAGUGACAGACACUUCAGAUGGGCCCUUGACGACCCCAUCAGACACCAUGACCUCCCUUGUUACCACCACAGAGGUCCCUGGGACCACCCCUGGUACUUCUACCCCAACAGAGCCAGAGACCCCCAGUGACACUGCAGAGACCACUGCCCUGGGUGUGACAGCAACUGUGUCCCCAGCUCUCCCUACCUCCUCAGCACCCAUGGAGAGCUCAACACUGCUGCCUACCACUGACUCCAGCACCACAGCCACCCUCCUUUCCUCCAGCCCUGAAACAGAAGCCUCCACCCCAGAGGAGUCCAGCACAUCCACAGAGACUGAAAACACCUCACCUUCCACUGUGCUUCCUCCCUUCACAACUACAGAAGAUUCAUCUGAAUCUACAGAAGAGACCUUGGCAACCCUGGCAGACACCACAGUCAGCCCUGUUAUCAGCACAUCAGACCCCACGGGCACUCCCUCUUCCAGCUACCCAGACAGGACCACUCCUGACAUCUUCCCCUCAACUCUGGAGUCAACUCCAGGCACUGAGCCCUUUUCACCUGCCUCCAGCUCAGCCCAGACCUCAGAGGCUGCUGCCCUCAGCACAUCUACAGCCCUGCCAACGCUGCUGCCAACCUGCCCCUCUGCCUCACCCAACACCAGUGCAUCUCACCUGUUUCUGUCGCUGAGGCUGACCACCCCUCUGGACCUGGGGAACAUCACGGUGCAGGAGCUGCUGUUGUCCAAGCUCCGUGAGGACCUGCAGACAGCAUUCCCAUGUGCUGGCCUGUCACUGGCAUGGCGAGGGAAGAGGAGGACUUGACUGCUGCCCCUCACCUGGACUGCCAAGCACCUGCUCCCAGCUCCUCACUCCACGGUGGUGCAGGCCCCUGGGGAAUCCCAUAGAGCUCCUCUUGAACCUGGGGCUUCCUGUCCUUCACUCUGUACCCCCCGUCCCCUCCUGACCCUUCCCACAGCCUGUCUGAAGAGCCUGAGCCCUCUCACCACCCUGCUCCAGACUUGGUUCCCCCUCCAGCUCUGCUGGGGGCUGGGUGAAGGGAACCCCACAGGACUGGGCUUUUACAUCUGGGACUGAGCUGCCUCAGCCAUCAAAGCCACCCUGGGGACAGAGGAAUGAGAGGAAGGAGACCUGAAGCCCCCAGUACUGCUGUGCCCAAGGCUCACCUGUGGCAUUGCUGACAGAGGAGAACACCCGUGCCGGGCAGUGAAUAGAAAUUCCAUGUUUUCUGUGUUGAAGUGACGACUUCUUUAUUUUCCAAGUUGUCUUUCCCAAUUUUCAGCUUUGCCAUCUAUUGGAGGUACCAAUGAGGAAAAGUGAGUCCCCAGAGCUUUGUGUGGAGAGACGGGCUCAGUGCUGUCCCCUCCCACCAGGGGCUGCUGCAGACAUUCCCAAGGAUGGCUCGGCACCCCGGCAGACUGGUGGUCUCUGCUCUGGAGCUCUCUGCCCCAAAACUCCCCACAGCUGCAGGGACAGCACUGUGGGGCUGUGCAAAUCCCGUGGGCUGUGCUCCUUCCCUGUUUUUUCCAGUCCCCAACUAAGGAGACACUGUAACAUCUGACCCCCUGCAGCAAAGUCAUUUAUUAACUGAUUAAUUAGCCAGAUAAAAUCCAACUGAAGCAAUUAUUAGCCUUAGCAAGCCACCUCUCCUGGAGAUUGAAAACUGAAAUAAUUAACAAAAUAGCCUCAUUGCGUGUCAGGGGUUGUUUUUGGCUGAUCCCUGCUCCUCCCUGGCAGCCCUCACUGCACAGGGAGGGCUGAGAGGGGGCGUGUGGGGCUGUGGGAUUCCUAACCUGGGGACUUC
rnacentral:lncRNA from 1 species